rnacentral:rRNA from 1 species
GAUGAACGCUGGCGGCGUGCCUAAUACAUGCAAGUCGAGCGAACAGACGAGGAGCUUGCUCCUCUGACGUUAGCGGCGGACGGGUGAGUAACACGUGGAUAACCUACCUAUAAGACUGGGAUAACUUCGGGAAACCGGAUCUAAUACCGGACAAUAUAUUGAACCGCAUGGUUCAAUAGGGAAAGACGGUUUUGCUGUCACUUAUAGAUGGAUCCGCGCCGUAUUAGCUAGUUGGUAAGGUAACGGCUUACCAAGGCGAGGAUGCGUAGCCGACCUGAGAGGGGGAUCGCCCACCUGGGAGCUGAGACGCGGUCCAGAGUCCUACGGGAGGGAGCAGUCGGGAAUCGUCCGCAACGGGGGAAAGCCUGACGGAGCAGCGCCGCGUGAGUGAUGAAGGUCUUCGGUUCGUAAAACUCUGUUAUUGGUGAAGAACAAAUGUGUAAGUAGCUGUGCACGUCUUGACGGUACCUGAUCAGAAAGCCACGGCUAACUACGUG